rnacentral:rRNA from 1 species
ACGCUGGCGGCAGGCUUAACACAUGCAAGUCGAACGGUAACAGGGAUUAGCUUGCUAAUUUGCUGACGAGUGGCGGACGGGUGAGUAAUGCUUGGGAAUCUGGCUUAUGGAGGGGGAUAACUACGGGAAACUGUAGCUAAUACCGCGUAAUAUCGGAAGAUUAAAGGGUGGGACUUUCGAGCCACCUGCUAUAAGAUGAGCCCAAGUGGGAUUAGGUAGUUGGUUAGGUAAAGGCUGACCAAGCCGACGAUCUCUAGCUGGUCUGAGAGGAUGACCAGCCACACUGGAACUGAGACACGGUCCAGACUCCUACGGGAGGCAGCAGUGGGGAAUAUUGCACAAUGGGGGGAACCCUGAUGCAGCCAUGCCGCGUGAAUGAAGAAGGCCUUCGGGUUGUAAAGUUUUUUCGGUGACGAGGAAGGUUGAUAGGUUAAUAGCCUAUCAAAUUGACGUUAAUCACAGAAGAAGCACCGGCUAACUCCGUGCCAGCAGCCGCGGUAAUACGGGGGGUGCGAGCGUUAAUCGGAAUAACUGGGCGUAAAGGGCACGCAGGCGGUGACUUAAGUGAGAUGUGAAAGCCCCGAGCUUAACUUGGGAAUUGCAUUUCAUACUGGGUCGCUAGAGUACUUUAGGGAGGGGUAGAAUUCCACGUGUAGCGGUGAAAUGCGUAGAGAUGUGGAGGAAUACCGAAGGCGAAGGCAGCCCCUUGGGAAUGUACUGACGCUCAUGUGCGAAAGCGUGGGGAGCAAACAGGAUUAGAUACCCUGGUAGUCCACGCUGUAAACGAUGUCGAUUUGGGGAUUGGGCUUUGAGCUUGGUGCCCGUAGCUAACGUGAUAAAUCGACCGCCUGGGGAGUACGGCCGCAAGGUUAAAACUCAAAUGAAUUGACGGGGGCCCGCACAAGCGGUGGAGC